AUGGCUUCAUCAAAACCAGCCAACUGCUUUGGCCCCUUUGAUCAUCACUCAUCAGGAGUCAGUAUUAUUGAGGAACUCAUCACCGAUGAUGAUUCGGUGAUCCAAGUCCCUCAAAACUAUGUUAUCCCAGAUCAGGAGUCUCCAAUCUCUGAUGGGACUAACCUUGCCACAAUCCCCACCAUUGACAUGACACAAUUGGUCCUACGCAAUCAGUCUGCAAACAACCCUGAACUUGAGAAAUUGCACUCGGCUUGCAAAGAAUGGGGAAUUUUUCAGUUGGUUAACCAUGGAGUUAGCUCUGCACUGCUGGACAAAGUUAAGCAAGAAUUAGAGGAUUUUUUCAAGCUUCCCUUGGAAGAGAAAAUGAGAUACAAAGUAAGGCCAGGUGAUGUGCUUGUUGAAGGCUAUGGAACCGUUGUCAAAUCCGAAGAUCAAAAAACUCGACUGGGGUAACAGGUUAUUCAUGUUUACCAACCCUAUCAAUAGAAGGAAAUCCCAUCUUUUCCCAGAGCUCCCUAUAUCCCUCAGGAAUGCCUUGGAGAGCUACAUGUUGGAAUUACAAAGGACUGCCCGGACCCUUUUAGGGUUGAUUGGGAAACUUCUAAAGAUGAAAAUGGAAGAGAUGGAAGAGUUAUUUGAAGAUGGGUUGCAGUCAGUGAGGAUGACUCACUAUCCCCCAUGCCCAAAACCAGAGCUAGUUGUUGGCCUGAAGCCUCACUCUGAUGGUAGCGGCAUCACUAUUCUCCACCAGGUUAAUGGAGUUCAAGGCCUUCAAAUUAAAAAAGAUGGGGUUUGGUUCCCUGUGAGCUUUGAUCAUGAGGCCUUUGUUGUAAAUAUUGGAGACAUUCUAGAGAUUCUGAGUGAUGGGGUAUAUAAAAGCAUUGAGCACAGAGUAACAGUGAACUCGGAGAAAGAAAGGAUUUCAAUUGCUAUGUUCUUCUUGCCCAAAGUUGACGCAGAAAUUGGACCUGUGACGGCUCUGAGCGAUGCUGAUCAGAAGCCACCAUCUUCUGGGAAAAUAGGAAUGGAAAAAUUUCUCGAGAAGUUCUUCGCUCAUAACCUUAAUGGAAAAACACCCUUGGAGCGAAUGACAACAAAUUAA